AAACAUGAUAAAAAAUAAAACUUCUAGAAAGUUUCCUCCAUUAUUUUCAACUUUUCCCAGUUCUUUUAUGUUAGAAUUCUGGAAUCAGUUUAAAGAGACUGCACAGACAAUUACUUUUGUGUCUGACCAUUCAAGGUGUGAGUUCCCAACCAGCAGUAUCAGCAUCUCAGGCUCCGUCCCAACUACUGAGCCAGAAUCUGCAUUUCAACAGGAUCCCAGUUCCUAAAACUGUUGGAAUCUCCUGAAUGAUCCAUAUAUAGGAGGAGUCUCUAAAACUCAGGCCAGAGGACCAAUGAGUUAAGCCUAUCAGGAACCUAAGUGCAGUGGGGACGUGUUCCCUCUUGGAGAAAAACUUGUCUUAAAAGAAGAGACUCAAGGCAUACAAGUUUGGUCCCAGGCAAUGUGUCACCAUCUAUUCAACAGUCGAUUAGCACCUCUUGUUCCCUUGCAAUAAAAUGACAAAUAAAACCAGCCAGGCACAGUGACUCACAUCUGUAAU